GGCGAGCCGCGGACGCGGCUGCGGACGAGGGAGCAGUACCCGCACAGCGACAAGACUGACCGUU
rnacentral:ncRNA from 1 species